CGAGGCGGGGCCCCUCCCGUUCUCCGCACCCAGGCGGAGCAGUCACAAGACGGACUAAGGAGCCGCAAGAGCGUUCCCUGAACCCUUCUCCACGGGGCCGUGAUUCUCGGCAGCAAGCCUCCAACUGUGGCAACCCUCGGUGGGAGGCAAGAUUCCUCUCAGAGACGAGAUGCUGAGGAAGAUGCUGAGAGACACCCUGGGGGACCUUCUCAGAAGAGAAAAUCAAGCCCCGCUGGACCUUCCAGAAAGGCAGGAAUGAGGGGAAGGCAAUGAGGAAGUACAACCAGAAGUUGGGAUGAGUUGGCCUUGAGAUGGAAGAGAUUGGAGAUACCCCACUUUUCCCGGUGACUGCUUUGAUCAGCAGACAAUCUUCCUUUCUCUUUCCUUUGAAGAUUUUGGUCCAGUUUGCAAAGGAGCUAGUACUUAGUUGUUUUAAGAAUGUAUAGUCCUGGAGGAAGACACCAACUGAGAAAAUGGAGCACCUAGAAAAAGGCAGAUAAGGGAAUAAAAGAAAUGACUAAAUUCUUUAGCCAUUUACAG